GGGUUGUGAGGUUAAGCGACUAAGCGUACACGGUGGAUGCCCUGGCAGUCAGAGGCGAUGAAGGGCGUGCUAAUCUGCGAUAAGCGCCGGUAAGGUGAUAUGAACCGUUAUAACCGGCGAUACCCGAAUGGGGAAACCCAGUGUGACUCGUCACACUAUCAUUAACUGAAUCCAUAGGUUAAUGAGGCGAACCGGGGGAACUGAAACAUCUAAGUACCCCGAGGAAAAGAAAUCAACCGAGAUUCCCCCAGUAGCGGCGAGCGAACGGGGAGGAGCCCAGAGCCUGAAUCAGCAUGUGUGUUAGUGGAAGCGUCUGGAAAGGCGCGCGAUACAGGGUGACAGCCCCGUACACAAAAGCGCAUGUGCUGUGAGCUCGAUGAGUAGGGCGGGACACGUGGUAUCCUGUCUGAAUAUGGGGGGACCAUCCUCCAAGGCUAAAUACUCCUGACUGACCGAUAGUGAACCAGUACCGUGAGGGAAAGGCGAAAAGAACCCCGGCGAGGGGAGUGAAAAAGAACCUGAAACCGUGUACGUACAAGCAGUGGGAGCACAGGUUUACCUGUGUGACUGCGUACCUUUUGUAUAAUGGGUCAGCGACUUAUAUUCUGUAGCAAGGUUAACCGAAUAGGGGAGCCGGAGGGAAACCGAGUCUUAAUUGGGCGUUAAGUUGCAGGGUAUAGACCCGAAACCCGGUGAUCUAGCCAUGGGCAGGUUGAAGGUUGGGUAACACUAACUGGAGGACCGAACCGACUAAUGUUGAAAAAUUAGCGGAUGACCUGUGGCUGGGGGUGAAAGGCCAAUCAAACCGGGAGAUAGCUGGUUCUCCCCGAAAGCUAUUUAGGUAGCGCCUCGUGAAUUCAUCUCCGGGGGUAGAGCACUGUUUCGGCUAGGGGGCCAUCCCGGCUUACCAACCCGAUGCAAACUGCGAAUACCGGAGAAUGUUAUCACGGGAGACACACGGCGGGUGCUAACGUCCGUCGUGAAGAGGGAAACAACCCAGACCGCCAGCUAAGGUCCCAAAGUCAUGGUUAAGUGGGAAACGAUGUGGGAAGGCCCAGACAGCCAGGAUGUUGGCUUAGAAGCAGCCAUCAUUUAAAGAAAGCGUAAUAGCUCACUGGUCGAGUCGGCCUGCGCGGAAGAUGUAACGGGGCUAAACCAUGCACCGAAGCUGCGGCAGCGACACUGUGUGUUGUUGGGUAGGGGAGCGUUCUGUAAGCCUGUGAAGGUGUGUCGUGAGGCAUGCUGGAGGUAUCAGAAGUGCGAAUGCUGACAUAAGUAACGAUAAAGCGGGUGAAAAGCCCGCUCGCCGGAAGACCAAGGGUUCCUGUCCAACGUUAAUCGGGGCAGGGUGAGUCGACCCCUAAGGCGAGGCCGAAAGGCGUAGUCGAUGGGAAACGGGUUAAUAUUCCCGUACUUGGUGUUACUGCGAAGGGGGGACGGAGAAGGCUAUGUUGGCCGGGCGACGGUUGUCCCGGUUUAAGCGUGUAGGUGUGUGUUCCAGGUAAAUCCGGUUCACUUUAACACUGAGGCGUGACGACGAGGCACUACGGUGCUGAAGCAACAAAUGCCCUGCUUCCAGGAAAAGCCUCUAAGCAUCAGGUAACAUCAAAUCGUACCCCAAACCGACACAGGUGGUCAGGUAGAGAAUACCAAGGCGCUUGAGAGAACUCGGGUGAAGGAACUAGGCAAAAUGGUGCCGUAACUUCGGGAGAAGGCACGCUGACACGUAGGUGAAGUGAUUUACUCAUGGAGCUGAAGUCAGUCGAAGAUACCAGCUGGCUGCAACUGUUUAUUAAAAACACAGCACUGUGCAAACACGAAAGUGGACGUAUACGGUGUGACGCCUGCCCGGUGCCGGAAGGUUAAUUGAUGGGGUCAGCGCAAGCGAAGCUCCUGAUCGAAGCCCCGGUAAACGGCGGCCGUAACUAUAACGGUCCUAAGGUAGCGAAAUUCCUUGUCGGGUAAGUUCCGACCUGCACGAAUGGCGUAAUGAUGGCCAGGCUGUCUCCACCCGAGACUCAGUGAAAUUGAACUCGCUGUGAAGAUGCAGUGUACCCGCGGCAAGACGGAAAGACCCCGUGAACCUUUACUAUAGCUUGACACUGAACAUUGAGCCUUGAUGUGUAGGAUAGGUGGGAGGCUUUGAAGUGUGGACGCCAGUCUGCAUGGAGCCGACCUUGAAAUACCACCCUUUAAUGUUUGAUGUUCUAACGUGGACCCGUUACCCGGGUUGCGGACAGUGUCUGGUGGGUAGUUUGACUGGGGCGGUCUCCUCCUAAAGAGUAACGGAGGAGCACGAAGGUUGGCUAAUCCUGGUCGGACAUCAGGAGGUUAGUGCAAUGGCAUAAGCCAGCUUGACUGCGAGCGUGACGGCGCGAGCAGGUGCGAAAGCAGGUCAUAGUGAUCCGGUGGUUCUGAAUGGAAGGGCCAUCGCUCAACGGAUAAAAGGUACUCCGGGGAUAACAGGCUGAUACCGCCCAAGAGUUCAUAUCGACGGCGGUGUUUGGCACCUCGAUGUCGGCUCAUCACAUCCUGGGGCUGAAGUAGGUCCCAAGGGUAUGGCUGUUCGCCAUUUAAAGUGGUACGCGAGCUGGGUUUAGAACGUCGUGAGACAGUUCGGUCCCUAUCUGCCGUGGGCGCUGGAGAACUGAGGGGGGCUGCUCCUAGUACGAGAGGACCGGAGUGGACGCAUCACUGGUGUUCGGGUUGUCAUGCCAAUGGCACUGCCCGGUAGCUAAAUGCGGAAGAGAUAAGUGCUGAAAGCAUCUAAGCACGAAACUUGCCCCGAGAUGAGUUCUCCCUGAGACUUAGAGUCUCC
rnacentral:rRNA from 1 species